GAUGAAGAACGCAGCGAAAUGCGAUAAGUAAUGUGAAUUGCAGAAUUCAGUGAAUCAUCGAAUCUUUGAACGCACAUUGCGCCCGUCAGUAUUCUGGCGGGCAUGCCUGUUCGAGCGUCAUUACGCCCCUCAAGUCCCCUGUGGACUUGGUGUUGGGGAUCGGCGAGGCUGGUUUUCCAGCACAGCCGUCCCUUAAAUUAAUUGGCGGUCUCGCCGUGGCCCUCCUCUGCGCAGUAGUAAAACACUCGCAACAGGAGCCCGGCGCGGUCCACUGCCGUAAAACCCCCCAACUUUUUAUAGUUGGCCUCGAAUCAGGUAGGACUACCCGCUGAACUUAAGCAUAUCAAUAAGCGGAGGA
rnacentral:misc_RNA from 1 species